rnacentral:rRNA from 1 species
GUUAGCGGCGGACGGGUGAGUAACACGUGGGUAACCUACCUAUAAGACUGGAAUAACUCCGGGAAACCGGGGCUAAUGCCGGAUAACAUUUAGAACCGCAUGGUUCUAAAGUGAAAGAUGGUUUUGCUAUCACUUAUAGAUGGACCCGCGCCGUAUUAGCUAGUUGGUAAGGUAACGGCUUACCAAGGCAACGAUACGUAGCCGACCUGAGAGGGUGAUCGGCCACACUGGAACUGAGACACGGUCCAGACUCCUACGGGAGGCAGCAGUAGGGAAUCUUCCGCAAUGGGCGAAAGCCUGACGGAGCAACGCCGCGUGAGUGAUGAAGGUCUUCGGAUCGUAAAACUCUGUUAUUAGGGAAGAACAAAUGUGUAAGUAACUAUGCACGUCUUGACGGUACCUAAUCAGAAAGCCACGGCUAACUACGUGCCAGCAGCCGCGGUAAUACGUAGGUGGCAAGCGUUAUCCGGAAUUAUUGGGCGUAAAGCGCGCGUAGGCGGUUUCUUAAGUCUGAUGUGAAAGCCCACGGCUCAACCGUGGAGGGUCAUUGGAAACUGGGAAACUUGAGUGCAGAAGAGGAAAGUGGAAUUCCAUGUGUAGCGGUGAAAUGCGCAGAGAUAUGGAGGAACACCAGUGGCGAAGGCGACUUUCUGGUCUGUAACUGACGCUGAUGUGCGAAAGCGUGGGGAUCAAACAGGAUUAGAUACCCUGGUAGUCCACGCCGUAAACGAUGAGUGCUAAGUGUUAGGGGGUUUCCGCCCCUUAGUGCUGCAGCUAACGCAUUAAGCACUCCGCCUGGGGAGUACGACCGCAAGGUUGAAACUCAAAGGAAUUGACGGGGACCCGCACAAGCGGUGGAGCAUG